rnacentral:misc_RNA from 1 species
ACGAGUUAGGGUCCUCUAGGCCCGACCUCCCAACCCUUUGCUUACCGAACCUCUGUUGCUUCGGCGGGCCCGUCUCACGACCGCCGGAGGACCGCCGCAGGGCGCUGUCCUCUAGCCCGUGUCCGCCGAUAGCCAACUACAAAACUCUGUAUAAAUCAUGUCUCAUGUCUAAGUCAAAUUGCAAUUAAAAGCA